CCUACGGGGGGCAGCAGUAGGGAAUAUUGCUCAAUGGGGGAAACCCUGAAGCAGCAACGCCGCGUGGAGGAUGAAGGUUUUCGGAUUGUAAACUCCUUUUGUUAGAGAAGAUAAUGACGGUAUCUAACGAAUAAGCACCGGCUAACUCCGUGCCAGCAGCCGCGGUAAUACGGAGGGUGCAGGCGUUACUCGGAAUCACUGGGCGUAAAGCGCGCGUAGGCGGGAUAGCAAGUCAGAUGUGAAAUCCUAUGGCUUAACCAUAGAACUGCAUUUGAAACUGUUAUUCUAGAGUAUGGGAGAGGUAGGUGGAAUUCUUGGUGUAGGGGUAAAAUCCGUAGAGAUCAAGAGGAAUACUCAUUGCGAAGGCGACCUGCUAGAACAUAACUGACGCUGAUGCGCGAAAGCGUGGGGAGCAAACAGGAUUAGAUACCCCAGUAGUC
rnacentral:rRNA from 1 species